GUGCUUGCUUCGGCAGCACAUAUCCUAAAACUGAAUGAUACAGAGAAGAUUAGCACAGCCCCUGCGCAAGGAAUAAUGAAGGGAAUCGAGAAUAGCUAUUGCUUAUA